rnacentral:rRNA from 1 species
AUUGAACGCUGGCGGCAUGCUUUACACAUGCAAGUCGAACGGCAGCACGGGGGGUAACCCGUCUGGUGGCGAGUGGCGAACGGGUGAGUAGUGCAUCGGAACGCGUCCUGUAAUGGGGGAGUAACCUGGCGAAAGUCAGGCUAAUACCGCAUACGUCCUGAGGGAGAAAGCGGGGGAUUGGCAACGACCUCGUGUUAUAGGAGCGGCCGAUGUCGGAUUAGCUAGUUGGUGGGGUAAAGGCCUACCAAGGCGACGAUCCGUAGCGGGUCUGAGAGGACGGCCCGCCACACUGGGACUGAGACACGGCCCAGACUCCUACGGGAGGCAGCAGUGGGGAAUUUUGGACAAUGGGGGGCGAACCCUGAUCCAGCCAUGCCGCGUGAGUGAAGAAGGCCUCGGUUGGUUAAA